CUCAUGCAUCGGUGAAAAGGAGCAUGGAAUAAAAAGCUUCCAGUGGCUCAAAGAGACACACAGGAUCAGCUUCAAGGUUAAAGAGCUCCAAAGCAAGGAGGGGAAGAUAGAAACUUGGGACUAGCAGUGUGGAUGAUUUGACUCAAGUGAUCCUACCACCAGAAUUGACUCAUCACCCAAGUCAGCUUCCAGGAGAGAGAAGAGCCUCAUCCUUGAGCCUAUAUUUCUCGUAAGCCAGGAGGAGAAGCAGCUAUUUGCC